CCACCACCACCACCACCACCACCACCAACACCGUCUGACCAGCAGAGCUCUGGAAGUGACCGCCUCGUUAUUGAUACCGAGGAGGAGGAAAUGGGGGAGCCUUCAGGCCAGCCUGAUGUCACUUACGUGGACUCUGAGUCGUCGGAGGAGCCGCCACAGUAUA